GCCUGUGCUCUAUCUACUAGGCCAUGCUGCUUCUCUUUAAUUGCAACAGUCUGCCUUCUUAGAGGGACACCUAUCUGGAAGACAACUGUGGCAGGUUCUGCAGCAGAGGCCGCGAGACGCCCAAAUCGACGCCCCUCCUCCUGGCAGGACCCAGCUGGACGCCUGUCACUAGCUCCAGGACACACCCAGCCUCCUCCUGUCCUUCCUGUUGCUCCUCCAGGCAGGACCCAGCUGGACGUCUGUCACUGGCUCUACCACACACCCAAUCUCCUUCUGACCUCCUUCUUGCUCUUCCUCUUGCCCUUGCUGCUCCUGUUCUUGCUCCUCCUCCUCCUCCUGCACUUGCCUCUUGCUCCUCCCGUCCCCGCUCUUGCUCCCCCUCUUGUAUUUGGCUCCUGCUCUUGCUCCCCCUCUUGCAUUUGGCUCCUGCUCUUGCCGCUCCUCCUCCUCCUGGCUCCCGCUCUUCCUAGUCCUCCUCCUCUUGCACUUGGCUCUACUUUUGCUGCUCCAGCUCUUGUUCUUGCUUUUGCUCCUCCUCCUGCAUUUGGCUCCUGCUCUUGCUGCUCCAGCUCCUCCUCCUGCAUUUGGCUCCUGCUCUUGCUGCUCCAGCUCCUCCUCCUGCCCUUGGCUCCUGCUCUUGCUGCUCCGGCUCCUGUUUCUGCUCCUCCUCCUCCUGCCCUUGGCUCCUGCUUUGGCAGCUCCAGCUCCUGCACCUGUGCUUGCUUUUGCUGCUCCUCCUGCAUUUGGCUCCUGAUUUUGCAGCUCCAACUCCUGCCCUUGGCUCCUGCUUUUGCCGCUCCGGCUCCCGCUCCAGCACCCGUGCUUGCUUUAGCUCCUCCUCCUGCAUUUGGUUCCUGCUUCUGCAGCUCCUGUUCUCGCUCCUUCUCCUCCCCUUGGCUCCAGCUCUUGCGGCUCCAGCUCUUGCGGCUCCAGCUCUUGCGGCUCCAGCUCUUGCUCCUCCUCCUGCAUUUGGCUCCUGCUUUCGCUCCUCCUCCUGCAUCUGGCUCCCGCUCUUGCUGCUCCAGGUUCUGUCCUCGCUCUUUCUCCUCCUCCUCCUCCUCCUCCUCCUCCCCUUGGCUCCCGGUUUUGCUGCUCCUGGUCCGGCUCCAGUUGUUGCUCGUCCUCUUGCACUUGGCUGCCGCUUUUCCUGCUCCAGCCGCCGCUGCCGGGUCG
rnacentral:lncRNA from 1 species